UACGUAGGGGGCAAGCGUUGUCCGGAAUUAUUGGGCGUAAAGAGCGUGUAGGCGGUCCGGUAAGUCAGCUGUGAAAGUCAAGGGCUCAACCCUUGAAAGCCGGUUGAUACUGUCGGGCUAGAGUCCGGAAGAGGCGAGUGGAAUUCCCGGUGUAGCGGUGAAAUGCGUAGAGAUCUGGAGGAACACCGAUGGCGAAGGCAGCCUUCUGGGCCAACACUGACGCUCAUGCACGAAAGCGUGGGGAGCAAACAGG
rnacentral:rRNA from 1 species